rnacentral:lncRNA from 1 species
CAUUCUGAAUUCAGAUAGACGGUAAUCUGUCCAUAGAACCACACAUACAUAGUUUUACUUAGUCUGCUUAGGUCUCAAAUUACAAAUUCAAUACAUGUCCAUGGGGCUGUCACAUCGAACCUGCAUGCCUGCAAUUUUUCUAACAGAAAACUAACGACAACUAGGCACGGAGCUUAUCUGGGUCCUACAUCCAUGAAGAGCACUGGGAACAUGAACUGAAAUUGAAUUCAACAAAAAAGUUAGAAAUCUAUCACAAUGAAGCAUACCAUUCGGUACAUCUUCAGUUACCGCAUCCAACACCUUUACUUUCUUCAGCCAAUCAAUUCUGUAGUCCAUCAAAUCAGAGUUCAUCAUCAUGCUGAUGUAAUCCCAGUCCACUUCAUCGAGUCCCCUGAGCACUUCAUGCAUCGCAUCGAAACAUCCCAGAGUUAGUAUCUCCAGCAACAACAAAUGAUGCAGCAUAAGACCAACAAUGAAGGUGAUCCUAAUGUGGAAUAUGAUGCCACUGAAGCUUCACAUCCGCAAGGUACCGCA